rnacentral:lncRNA from 10 species
GCUGGGAUGAGGGCGGCGCUCACGGUGAGGAAGCCCCGAGCUCCCGGGACGCAGACAGGGUGUGCAGGGCCGUAGCUCGGGCCUGUGUAUGCACCUGUGCGUGUGUGUUUGAUGCCAGGACAAGGCGGCGGUGUGCGCGGCGAGGAGGCUGCGACAGCUGUAUAGACCCCAGCUGCAGUGAAAUGGCCAUCAAAAAGGGAAGGGAUAAUCGAGUGGUGGAAUAAAAUCUGCAAACAGAAAAAGGACAGACCUGUUUUCGGAACGAGGCUUUUCGAGUUAUCACUUGGAGAGAGAGGUCCAGUGAGCAACAACGGCCAGAAAUUUCAGGGAGACCAUCUUGAACCAUCCAGCCUCCACCAGGCCAACAGCUGACAGCUGUCACAUGAAUAUGAUCAGCAGAAGAACCACUCAGCUCCCAUGUCUUGACCAACUUUGCAUUCCCCUCCAGGACCUUAUGGGCACAUGGGUUCCUAUCAUUUCACGGGUAUGUAGACUCAGGAAUGUGGCAUUGACUUCUGGGUGGAGUACAGAUGACUGACACCCCCACCCCGAUUCGGAGGAAUUAUUCAGGGGUGUGAUAUAACACCUACAUACAUUUAUUUAACUAGCCAAUUUGGUCUCCCCUUUUUUUGUUUUGAGACCGAGUCUUGCUCUGUCGCCCAGGCUGGAGUGCAGUGGCGUGAUCUCGACUUACUGCAACCUCCGCCUCCCAGGUUCAAGGGAUUCUCCUGCCUCAGCCUUCCGAGUAGCUGAGACUACAGGUGCCCACCACCAUGUCCGGAUAAUUUUUGUAUUUUUAGUAGACAUGGGGUUUCGCCAAGUUGGCCAGGCUGGUCUCAAACUCCUGACCUCACGUGAUCUGCCUGCCUCAGUCUCCCAAAGUGUUGGGAUUACAGGCAUGAGCCACCUCGGCCAGCCGGGUCUCCCUUUUUACAUCUGUUUUCCCCUUUCCAGUUCAAAUUCUGUAUUCUGGGAACAUCUUACUUUCUUCACCCUGAUUGAUUAGGGAAACUUCAGGGUUCUUAGGUAACUUUCUGAAGGACUGGUUUAAGAUUCCUAGAGUUGGAAAUGGGCGUCUCUCCUGUGUUAUUUCUAAAGUGUUAUCAUCCUAAUCCUUCAGAAUACUUUCUU